UUUUUUAUCUGUAGGUUAUGCAUAAGUGUUAGAUACUAAUGUGUUGUUGUUUUUUUAACAGCCACAGUUCUCCAUACAAUACAAGACCCUGACUGUGAUGUUGGCUGAGUAGAGACUGAUUGAGAUGGUGUACUUCCAGAGUUGGUGGAAUGACCAAGCACACCUUCUUGGUCAUUUGUGGUGAUAAUAAUGAAGCUGAAACAUCUGCUAGUCUCCAGGAAAAGUGGCAUCAAUACUGUACCUGGAAGGGCCUAACAAGUUGAAUCUGCUGGGAGAGUCAAGUUGUGGAUCAUCAUGUAGAU